rnacentral:rRNA from 1 species
CCUACGGGAGGCAGCAGUGAGGAAUAUUGGUCAAUGGACGCAAGUCUGAACCAGCCAUGCCGCGUGCAGGAUGACGGCUCUAUGAGUUGUAAACUGCUUUUGUACGAGGGUAAACCCCGAUACGUGUAUCGUGUUGAAAGUAUCGUACGAAUAAGGAUCGGCUAACUCCGUUCCCGCCGCCGCGGUAAUACGGAGGAUCCGAGCGUUAUCCGGAUUUAUUGGGUUUAAAGGGUGCGUAGGCGGUUUGAUAAGUUAGAGGUGAAAUGUCGGGGCUCAACCCCGAAACUGCCUCUAAUACUGUUGGACUAGAGAAUAGUUGCGGUAGGCGGAAUGUAUGGUGUAGCGGUGAAAUGCUUAGAGAUCAUACAGAACACCGAUUGCGAAGGCAGCUUACCAAACUAUAUCUGACGUUGAGGCACGAAAGCGUGGGUAGCAAACAGGAUUAGAUACCCUUGUAGUC